AUUGAACGCUGGCGGCAGGCCUAACACAUGCAAGUCGAGCGAGCGGCGGACGGGUGAGUAAUGUCUGGGAAACUGCCUGAUGGAGGGGGAUAACUACUGGAACCGGUGGCUAAUAUCGCAUACCAUCAGAUGUAUCCAGAUGGGAUUAGCUAGUAGGUGGGGUAACGGCUCACCUAGGCGACGAUCCCUAGCUGGUCUGAGAGGAUGAUCAGCCACACUGGAACUGCGACACGGUCCAGACUCCUACGGGAGGCAGCAGUGGGGAAUAUUGCACAAUGGGCGCAAGCCUGAUGCAGCCAUGCCGCGUGUAUGAAGAAGGCCUUCGGGUUGUAAAGCACUUUCAGCUGGGAGGCGUUACCCGCAGAAGAAGCACCGGCUAACUCCGUGCCAGCCGCCGCGGUAAUUC
rnacentral:rRNA from 1 species